GGCCUCACAAUCACUAGCCAAUAUGCUUUUCUCUCAUGCCUUUCUUCAUUCAUGGUUCGAUAUUUUAGUGUCCUAGGCGUAGAGGAACCACACCAAUUCAUCCCGAACUUGGUGGUUAAACUCUACUGCGGUGACGAUACUGUAGGAGAGGUCCUGCGGAAAAAUAGCUCGACGCCAGGAUGAUAAAAAGCUUAACACCUCUAAUUCUUAUUACUUUUCAAUAUUCAAUAUCAAUAUGGAAAAAAAAAAAAAUGAAAAGGUCGUCUUAUUCAAAACCCCUUCUCUCCCACUUUUCUCUCUCACUUCACACCUUGGAACGCACCGUUCUUAUAGAGAGAGAGGCGCUUUCACAUCUUCUUAACCCGAAAUGGCAAA